UACGUAGGGUGCAAACGUUAUCCGGAUUUAUUGGGCGUAAAGAGUUCGUAGGUGGUUUGGAAAGUCGGAUAUUAAAUAUCCCGGCUCAACCGGGGAAAUGUAUUCGAAACUUCCUGACUUGAGGUAUGUAGGGGAGGAUGGAACACACGGUGUAGCAGUGAAAUGCGUAGAUAUCGUGUGGAACGCCAAUGGUGAAGACAGUCCUCUGGACAUUACCUGACACUGAGGAACGAAAGCGUGGGUAG
rnacentral:rRNA from 1 species